AUCGCUUCUCGGCCUUUUGGCUAAGAUCAAGUGUAGAAUUCACCAGUGUGGCCAUGUGUGCCUGGAGUUUUCUUUGUAGAAGAGUUUUUAAUUAUAAAUUCAAUUUCCUUAGUAGGUACAGGAUUAUUUGCAAUUACUGUAUCUUCUUGAUCAAUUUUGAGAAGGUGUGUUUUUAAAAGAGUACUUCCA